rnacentral:lncRNA from 1 species
CCUGGUUGGUUGGUAUCAGCUACCUAAAGGAAGGAUGAUGACUCUGAAAUAACAGAAGCAAAUGAGCACUCGCCUUUGAAAGAUCAUCUUUCACCAUGGGAAGAAUGGUUCAUUGGAAAAGAGAAGGAACUACGUGCCCACUUACAAGCUAGAGCUGCAGAGGAGAUGAAUAUACAACUUGAGAAAAUGAAGCAAAAGGAAGAAUUUGAGAGAAGGAAAAGGACAGCUGAAAAGAAGCUCAGAGAAUGCAAGUAAAAAAAAAGAGAAGAGGUAAAUUAUACUUCAGCUGCCAGUA